GACGAACGCUGGCGGCGUGCUUAACACAUGCAAGUCGAACGGAAAGGCCCUGCUUUUGUUGGGUGCUCGUGUGGCGAACGGGUGAGUAACACGUGAGUAACCUGCCCUUGACUUUGGGAUAACUUCAGGAAACUGGGGCUAAUACCGGAUAGGAGCUCCUGCUGCAUGGUGGGGGUUGGAAAGUUUCGGCGGUUGGGGAUGGACUCGCGGCUUAUCAGCUUGUUGGUGGGGUAGUGGCUUACCAAGGCUUUGACGGGUAGCCGGCCUGAGAGGGUGACCGGCCACAUUGGGACUGAGAUACGGCCCAGACUCCUACGGGAGGCAGCAGUGGGGAAUAUUGCACAAUGGGCGGAAGCCUGAUGCGGCAACGCCGCGUGCGGGAUGACGGCCUUCGGGUUGUAAACCGAUUUCGCCGGUGACGAAGCGUGAGUGACGGUAAUGGGUAAAGAAGCACCGGCUAACUACGUG
rnacentral:rRNA from 1 species